rnacentral:rRNA from 1 species
GUAGGGUGGGCAAGCGUUGUCCGGAAUUAUUGGGCGUAAAGCGCGCGCAGGCGGUCCUUUAAGUCUGAUGUGAAAGCCCACGGCUCAACCGUGGAGGGUCAUUGGAAACUGGGGGACUUGAGUACAGAAGAGGAAAGCGGAAUUCCAAGUGUAGCAGUGAAAUGCGUAGAGAUUUGGAGGAACACCGGUGGCGAAGGCGGCUUUCUGGUCUGUAACUGACGCUGAGGCGCGAAAGCGUGGGGAGCAAACAGGAUUAGAUACCCCGGUAGUCCACGCCGUAAACGAUGAGUGCUAAGUGUUAGGGGGUUUCCGCCCCUUAGUGCUGCAGCUAACGCAUUAAGCACUCCGCCUGGGGAGUACGGCCGCAAGGCUG